GAAGCCAGGCCAAGAAGAAUCCCAGGACUGGAAGGCCUUGUGGGACGUCCCAGGUUUGUCUUGUGUCAAUAGCACUGAUACUCAAUCUCCUACUCCCAUCUGUGAGCAUGCAGACCCUACUUGCCUUCCCACAGCCUCCCUUUUCAUAUUUUUCAUGUUUCUUUAGCUCUGUCUUCAAGCCUUGUUGCUCCCGCAAAAAAACCUGCCUCUUCCUCCAGUCCUCCCAAGCAGGGGGAACAGUCCUGACACCUUUCCAAGCCCUGGUCCAUGGACAUUGUGCCCCCUUCUCCCUGCCCAUGGUGACCUGCUCCAAAACCCUCAAGGAGAAGGGAGUGUAUGUCAUUUCCUCCCUGUAAAGUAAAGAUAAUUUUGCAGGGGACUGUGUGGAUGAAAUGACAUGAUGCAUGGAAAUCCCUUAGCGUGUGCCUGGCAUGUAAACUGCAGGUGUCAUCAUUAUUACUGAGGAAUACUGAGUCCCGAACAUGGCUGUCUCAUUGGUGGACUGGGGUCUCCCCCAGGGCAUUCAUCUACUAUGUGUUUAUUGCACCCUUUUUCCAUGUGAGGCACAUGCCAGGGACUGGGCACAUGGUAUGAACAAGACACAGGUCAUCGGUGUCCUCUUGAGCUCCCUGGCUUGGCAGCAGAUGCAUACCUGGGAAGGAUGCUAGGUCAUCCGGGAACUCUACCUCCUUCAAAUCCCUAAGGACUGUGCUCCCAAUCCGCUUACGCUCAAGGAAGAACUGGCCCAGAACCAGCCUGCUGUCAGGAUCAGAACAAAAGAGGAGGACUGCAUAUGUAUGGACCCACUCCAGAUGGCACGGGGACGGGGGGAGUAGGAAAAGUGGCAUGAGACCAGGCCCACAGAGUAUGGCUGUGCAAGUUGUUCACUCUACAAGGGCACCUGGCCGCUCUCUCAUUCCUGUUGAGGGCUCUCUGGUGGAGCCUCUGUCUCACAGGUCACCUGCAGGCCAACACUCCCAGAAGCAGCUAGCACCAUGGUUGACCUCGUCCAGGUCCAGGGAAGGCCUCCCUCUCCAGGACUCCUUUAGAUUUCCCCAGCAUCCAGACCUCACCUGCCUAAGUGCUGUUGCCCUGGAAGCCACAGUGAGCACGAGCUCCAUCUUGCACCUUUACCAGCCAAUGGGGGUAAAGACAUUAGCUGGGUUACUCAGGCUGAAAUGCUCAAGACACUCUGUCUCAAGGGAUUUGUGGCUGUUUCAUCCUCAAGUAUAGGGGGAAUAGUGGCCAGGAAGAUCUCAGAGGUGGCUUCUGGAAGAGGAAUCUGGGUACUGGCUACCCUGCCUUGUGUCCCAUCAUUGGUCUGUCUUGCCUGUCUUGGAGCACAUUUCUCACCAAGGCCAUGUUCAAUCCCCUCAAGGGAAGCCUGAGACCACAGCUACUGCCUCGAAUCAGAAGCCCCAGCCUCAUCAUCUGGGGCCAGAGAACUAGGGCAGGAGGAGCCAAGUAGCACAGCAGGAAGCAUGAGUCCCUCCGAGGAGAAGCUGGUCUCUGAGAGGAGCACAGAAUGCAGCAGGCUGGAUAAGCCCCCUGCUGAAAUCAUGGGGUAAAAAAGAGACACAGGGGGAAUGGAGGAGCCAGAGAGAAAGCAGUGUGAUCACAGGCACACAGGACAGCAGCUCACCUUCCCAUCCUUGCUGGCUUUUGCACCCAACAGCCCAAAGCCUCCCCGCUGCAAAUUCUUUUUUUUUUUUUUUUUUGCCAGCCUCACUUCCUCUUGGGGAAGGCUGAGCUCUGGUAGAAGAAGAGAAUGAGAACUGCUGUAAAUACUUCUAAGGGGCCAGGCGUGGUGACUCAUGCUUGUAAUUCCAAGCACUUUGGGAGGCUGAGGCAGGUGGAUCACCUGAAGCCAGGAGUUCAAGAGCAGCCUGGCCAACAUGGCGAAACCCUGUCUCUACUAAAAAUACAAAAUUUAGCCAGGCAUGGUGGCGGGAGCCUGUAAUCUCAGCUCCUAGGGAGGCUGAGCCAGAAGAAUCGCUUAAACCUGGAAGCUGGAGGUUGCAGUGAGCCAAGAUCACACCACCACACUCCAGCCUGGGUGACAGAGCAAGACUCCAUCUCAAAAAGAAAAAAAAGAAAAAAAGGAAAUACUUCUAAGUUAUGUGAGAGAGUACAUACUGACAUUUUCAAUGGGUACAAUAA
rnacentral:lncRNA from 1 species